GGUUAAGCGACUAAGCGUACACGGUGGAUGCCCUGGCAGUCAGAGGCGAUGAAGGACGUGCUAAUCUGCGAAAAGCGUCGGUAAGGUGAUAUGAACCGUUAUAACCGGCGAUGUCCGAAUGGGGAAACCCAGUGUGAUUCGUCACACUAUCGUUAACUGAAUACAUAGGUUAACGAGGCGAACCGGGGGAACUGAAACAUCUAAGUACCCCGAGGAAAAGAAAUCAACCGAGAUUCCCCCAGUAGCGGCGAGCGAACGGGGAGCAGCCCAGAGUCUGAAUCAGCUUGUGUGUUAGUGGAACGGUCUGGAAAGUCCGACGGUACAGGGUGAUAGUCCCGUACACCAAAAUGCACAGGUUGUGAACUCGAAGAGUAGGGCGGGACACGUGGUAUCCUGUCUGAAUAUGGGGGGACCAUCCUCCAAGGCUAAAUACUCCUGACUGACCGAUAGUGAACCAGUACCGUGAGGGAAAGGCGAAAAGAACCCCGGCGAGGGGAGUGAAAAAGAACCUGAAACCGUGUACGUACAAGCAGUGGGAGCACCUUCGGGUGUGACUGCGUACCUUUUGUAUAAUGGGUCAGCGACUUAUAUUCUGUAGCAAGGUUAACCGUAUAGGGGAGCCGCAGGGAAACCGAGUCUUAACUGGGCGUUAAGUUGCAGGGUAUAGACCCGAAACCCGGUGAUCUAGCCAUGGGCAGGUUGAAGGUUGGGUAACACUAACUGGAGGACCGAACCGACUAAUGUUGAAAAAUUAGCGGAUGACUUGUGGCUGGGGGUGAAAGGCCAAUCAAACCGGGAGAUAGCUGGUUCUCCCCGAAAGCUAUUUAGGUAGCGCCUCGUGAAUUCAUCUUCGGGGUAGAGCACUGUUUCGGCUAGGGGUCAUCCCGACUUACCAACCCGAUGCAAACUACGAAUACCGAAGAAUGUUAUCACGGGAGACACACGGCGGGUGCUAACGUCCGUCGUGAAGAGGAAACAACCCAGACCGCCAGCUAAGGUCCCAAAGUCAUGGUUAAGUGGGAAACGAUGUGGGAAGGCACAGACAGCCAGGAUGUUGGCUUAGAAGCAGCCAUCAUUUAAAGAAAGCGUAAUAGCUCACUGGUCGAGUCGGCCUGCGCGGAAGAUGUAACGGGGCUAAACCAUGCACCGAAGCUGCGGCAGCGACACUAUGUGUUGUUGGGUAGGGGAGCGUUCUGUAAGCCUGCGAAGGUGACCUGUGAGGGUUGCUGGAGGUAUCAGAAGUGCGAAUGCUGACAUAAGUAACGAUAAAGCGGGUGAAAAGCCCGCUCGCCGGAAGACCAAGGGUUCCUGUCCAACGUUAAUCGGGGCAGGGUGAGUCGACCCCUAAGGCGAGGCCGAAAGGCGUAGUCGAUGGGAAACAGGUUAAUAUUCCUGUACUUGGUGUUACUGCGAAGGGGGGACGGAGAAGGCUAUGUUAGCCGGGCGACGGUUGUCCCGGUUUAAGCAUGUAGGCUGGUUAUCCAGGCAAAUCCGGAUAAUCAAGGCUGAGGUGUGAUGACGAGGCACUACGGUGCUGAAGUAACAAAUGCCCUGCUUCCAGGAAAAGCCUCUAAGCAUCAGGUAACAUCAAAUCGUACCCCAAACCGACACAGGUGGUCAGGUAGAGAAUACCAAGGCGCUUGAGAGAACUCGGGUGAAGGAACUAGGCAAAAUGGUGCCGUAACUUCGGGAGAAGGCACGCUGGUGUGUAGGUGAAGUCCCUGCGGAUGGAGCUGAGACCAGUCGAAGAUACCAGCUGGCUGCAACUGUUUAUUAAAAACACAGCACUGUGCAAACACGAAAGUGGACGUAUACGGUGUGACGCCUGCCCGGUGCCGGAAGGUUAAUUGAUGGGGUUAUCCGUAAGGAGAAGCUCUUGAUCGAAGCCCCGGUAAACGGCGGCCGUAACUAUAACGGUCCUAAGGUAGCGAAAUUCCUUGUCGGGUAAGUUCCGACCUGCACGAAUGGCGUAAUGAUGGCCAGGCUGUCUCCACCCGAGACUCAGUGAAAUUGAACUCGCUGUGAAGAUGCAGUGUACCCGCGGCAAGACGGAAAGACCCCGUGAACCUUUACUAUAGCUUGACACUGAACAUUGAGCCUUGAUGUGUAGGAUAGGUGGGAGGCUUUGAAGCGUGGACGCCAGUCUGCGUGGAGCCAACCUUGAAAUACCACCCUUUAAUGUUUGAUGUUCUAACGUUGGCCCCUGACCGGGGUUGCGGACAGUGUCUGGUGGGUAGUUUGACUGGGGCGGUCUCCUCCCAAAGCGUAACGGAGGAGCACGAAGGUUAGCUAAUCCUGGUCGGACAUCAGGAGGUUAGUGCAAUGGCAUAAGCUAGCUUGACUGCGAGCGUGACGGCGCGAGCAGGUGCGAAAGCAGGUCAUAGUGAUCCGGUGGUUCUGAAUGGAAGGGCCAUCGCUCAACGGAUAAAAGGUACUCCGGGGAUAACAGGCUGAUACCGCCCAAGAGUUCAUAUCGACGGCGGUGUUUGGCACCUCGAUGUCGGCUCAUCACAUCCUGGGGCUGAAGUAGGUCCCAAGGGUAUGGCUGUUCGCCAUUUAAAGUGGUACGCGAGCUGGGUUUAGAACGUCGUGAGACAGUUCGGUCCCUAUCUGCCGUGGGCGCUGGAGAAUUGAGGGGGGCUGCUCCUAGUACGAGAGGACCGGAGUGGACGCAUCACUGGUGUUCGGGUUGUCAUGCCAAUGGCACUGCCCGGUAGCUAAAUGCGGAAGAGAUAAGUGCUGAAAGCAUCUAAGCACGAAACUUGCCCCGAGAUGAGUUCUCCCUGAGACUUUAAGUCUCCUGAAGGAACGUUGAAGACGACGACGUUGAUAGGCCGGGUGUGUAAGCGCAGCGAUGCGUUGAGCUAACCGGUACUAAUGAACCGUGAGGCUUAACCUU
rnacentral:rRNA from 1 species